GAUGAACGCUGGCGGCGUGCCUAACACAUGCAAGUCGAGCGGACAGACGUGGAUCUCUCUCUUCUUCCGUUGGCGGCGGGCGGGUGAGUAAUACGUGGAUAACCUACCUAUAGGACUGGGAUAAGUUCGGGGACCCGGAUCCAAUAUCGGAUAACAUGUUGAACUGCAGGGUUCAACAGUGAUUGAGGGUUUUGCUGUUACUUAUAGGUGUUUCCGCGUUGCAUUAGCUAGUUGGUAAGGUAACGGCUUACCAAGGCAACGAUGCGUAGCCGACCUGAGAGGGUGAUCGGCCACACUGGAACUGAGACACGGUCCAGACUCCUACGGGAGGCAGCAGUAGGGAAUCUUCGGCAAUGGGCGAGAGCCUGACCCAGCAACGCCGCGUGAGUGAAGAAGGUCUUCGGAUCGUAAAACUCUGUUAUUAGGGAAGAAGAAAAGUGUAAGUAACUAUGCACGUCUUGACGGUACCUAAAGAAAAAGCCCCGGCUAACUACGUG
rnacentral:rRNA from 1 species